AGAUUGAACGCUGGCGGCAGGCCUAACACAUGCAAGUCGAGCGGUAGAGAGGUGCUUGCACCUCUUGAGAGCGGCGGACGGGUGAGUAAUGCCUAGGAAUCUGCCUAGUGGUGGGGGAUAACGUUCGGAAACGGACGCUAAUACCGCAUACGUCCUACGGGAGAAAGCGGGGACCUUCGGCCUCGCGCCAUUAGAUGAGCCUAGGUCGAUUAGCUAGUUGGUGAGGUAAUGGCUCACCAAGGCGACGAUCCGUAACUGGUCUGAGAGGAUGAUCGAGUCACACUGGAACUGAGACACGGUCCAGACUCCUAACGGGAGCGAGCGAGGUGGGGAAUAGUUAGGACAAGUGGGACGAAAGGCCUAGACCCAGCCAAUCGCCGCGUAGUGUAGAAGG
rnacentral:rRNA from 1 species